rnacentral:rRNA from 1 species
GUGUCAGCAGCCGCGGUAAUACGAAGGUGGCAAGCGUUGUUCGGAUUUACUGGGCGUACAGGGAGCGUAGGCGGUUGGGUAAGCCCUCCGUGAAAUCUCCGGGCCUAACCCGGAAAGGGCGGAGGGGACUGCUCGGCUAGAGGAUGGGAGAGGAGCGCGGAAUUCCCGGUGUAGCGGUGAAAUGCGUAGAGAUCGGGAGGAAGGCCGGUGGCGAAGGCGGCGCUCUGGAACAUUUCUGACGCUGAGGCUCGAAAGCGUGGGGAGCAAACAGGAUUAGAUACCCCUGUAGUCC